rnacentral:lncRNA from 12 species
GUCUUUUUAGACCAUCCAAAUGCACAGAUUGCGAAGCAACACAGUAACAGUCAUAACAUAUGGAUAUUAAAAGAAAUCGAAGCACUGACAUACCUUGUCUCUGUCAGCAGUAGUUAUUCUAUAUUCCCCGAUUUGUUCCGUAGAUGCAAAUACAAUUUGCCAUCCAUGACACGACUCAGUUUGAGAUUGAGUAUCUUUUACCACAAUCUACCCUCGCAAAAACGAAUCCGAGUAUUUUCAGAGGAUAAGAAAAUAAAAAAACUGAAAAGGGCAGAUACUUAACAUUAGAAUAGAAGGGGAGAAACAAUACACCGAAUCAAAGAAGAACAAAAAAUAAGAAGCGAAAACAAAGAAGGUUAACGAGAAAAAUUCGCUAAAAAAUCAAAUGCGGUAGAAAACGAAUUGACUUUAGUUCACAAACUGAGGGCUCCAGUAAUUCCACGCUGCGUCUCUGUAUUCCAAACGCACCGAGUGCGCUCUGCAACAGGGAACGCCGAUCUAUCCGUUUAUUCCCAGUCUGCUGCGGUUUUACUUCCAGGACUUCAACUUGCAGUAGCAUCACUUACACCUGAGCGUUCGGGUGAUAAUACAUUUGCCUUCUCUCCCUUUCGGCUUCAGCAGAACCCUUUCCAUGCACUGGCAUCCGAGCUCUCGUAAAGAACCGCCGCACUCAGUCAGGCGUCUGGAUGCCCGCAUUCACUGUAGCAGCGAGGAGGAUUGAGGCGCGUUCACGCUCUUCUUUCUCAAGGGAGUAGGACGCGCGCGCUGUUCACCUACGUCAGCCGGCGCGUGCUCCAAAUAGAACGUUAGGGAAGUUCGUUCCGAAUUCUCAUUUGGCGAGUCGAUGUCGCAGCUCAGAAUAUGAUAUCAGGUCAUUAUGAAUUGGGUUUUUUUGCUUCCUUUCUGCCUGCAGGUUGGAAGCGUUGUCUUCAAAAGGAGAAUGAAGCGAGUAGACAACUUGACAUCAAAUGAACCAAACACAAGCUAUCGAAGAGACACCAACCAUAUGAUUAAAUGUGUUGAAGCAUUAAAAAUAUUGAAGCAGCACUUUACAAGUUACAAAACUCAGCACUCCUGCAUGGAAUGAUACAGCCUUUUAUAUCCAUGAAGUAAGUUCAGUUCGUGCAUCAGUCAGCAUAAAUUGGUCUGUAAUAACCAGUAUUUCUUAAGCAAAAUCAGACUCUUUCAUUUUGUACUGAAUA